UCCUUCCCGAUAGAGCCUGCGUCUUCAGA
rnacentral:piRNA from 1 species